rnacentral:rRNA from 1 species
GUCUUUAUAGUGUUAAUUUAAAGUCUCACCUGCCCUAUGAUUAUUUAAAUGGCUGCAGUAUUUUGACUGUACAAAGGUAGCAUAAUAAUUAGUUUUUUAAUUGAAAGCUGGUAUGAAUGGUUGGACGAGAAAAUAGCUGUCUCUAUUUAAAUUUAAUAGAAUUUUAUUUUUAAGUUAAAAAGCUUAAAUAAUUUUAAAAGACGAGAAGACCCUAUAGAGUUUUAUAUUUUUUUUUGUAAUAAAUUUAAUAAAUUAUUUUUUUAUAUUAUGAAAUAUUUUAUUGGGGUGAUAGUAAAAUUUAAUAAACUUUUAUUUAAAUUUAACAUUAAUUUAUGAUUAAUUGAUCCAUUAUAAUGAUUAUAAGAUUAAAUUACCUUAGGGAUAACAGCGUAAUUUUUUUGGAGAGUUCUAAUCGAUAAGAAAGUUUGCGACCUCGAUGUUGGAUUAAAUUUUAUUUUUGGUGUAGAAGCUAAAAAAUUAGGUCUGUUCGACCUUUAAAAAUUUACA